GGGUGCGAGGGUUGGCGG
rnacentral:miRNA from 1 species